GCCGGGCACAGUGGUGCGUGCCUCUAAUCCCAGCAGCUCGGGAGGCUGAGGCAGGAGGAUCAUGAGUUCAAAGCCAGCCUCAGCAAAAGCGAGGCACUAAUCAACUCAGUGAGACCCUGUCUCUA
rnacentral:sRNA from 1 species